GGUAAGCUAGACUCUGGGUCUUUCCAAGCCCCUCAUAGGGGAAGCAGGUCCAAAAUGGCAGGUCCAUUUUAGAGUGGCCAUAUUCUGAUGUGCUAUGAUUAUACCUUCGGCCCAGGGACCAAGCUGACAGUCGUCGAGGACCUGAAAAAGGUGAGCCCUCCCAAGGUCACAGUGUUUGAACCAUCAGAAGCAGAGAUCUCCCGGACCCUGAAGGCCACGCUCGUGUGCCUGGCCACAGGCUUCUACCCCGACCACGUGGAGCUGAGCUGGUGGGUGAACGGGAAGGAGGUGCGCGACGGGGUCAGCACGGACCCUGAGCCCUACAAGGAACAGUCCGGCGCGAAUGUCUCCAGCUACUGUCUGAGCAGCCGGCUGAGGGUCUCCGCCACCUUCUGGCACAACCCUCGGAACCACUUCCGCUGCCAGGUCCAGUUCUACGGGCUCGGGAAGGAUGACCAGUGGGACUACCCCGAGGCCAAACCCAUCACCCAGAACGUCAGUGCCGACACCUGGGGCAGAGCAGACUGUGGCUUCACUUCAGCGUCCUACCAGCAGGGGGUCCUGUCGGCCACCAUCCUCUAUGAGAUCCUGCUGGGGAAGGCCACCCUAUAUGCCAUCCUGGUCGGCGUCCUCGUGCUGAUGGCCAAGGUCAAGAGAAAGGAUUCCUGAGGCCAGCUGGGAGGAGGAGUCCUGAGCUUCUAGUCGGCCAUUGCCCCAAUAUGGAUCCUCCUUUUCCCACUUAUAGCCAGUGCUUCUGAAGAGCUGUUUUCAUCCCUCUGCUCACCCCAGUAGCUACCCCUUAUGUGCAUGCACACGCGGUCGCUCACGACUCAACUUGCCCUAAGCCGGGGGGCCUCGCGUGACGAAAUUGACUGAAUCAAUAAAAAUGGCCUGUUCUGGCUUGACUCUG